rnacentral:rRNA from 1 species
AUUGAACGCUGGCGGCAGGCCUAACACAUGCAAGUCGAGCGAGCGGCGGACGGGUGAGUAAUGUAUGGGGGCUGCCCGAUAGAGGGGGAUAACUACUGGAAACGGUAGCUAAUACCGCAUACUAUCGGAUAAUCCCUAUGGGAUUAGCUAGUAGGUGAGGUAAUGGCUCACCUAGGAGACGAUCCCUAGCUGGUCUGAGAGGAUGAUCAGCCACACUGGGCCGGAGACACGGCCCAGACUCCUACGGAGCCAGCAGUGGGUAAUAUUGCAAAAGGGGCGCAAGCCUGAUGCAGCCAUGCCGCGUGUAUGAUGAAGGCCUUCGGGUUGUAAAGUACUUUUGGCAGAGAAGCGGUAUCUGCAGAAUAAGCACCGGCUAACUGCGUGCCAGCAGCCGCGGUAAUAC